rnacentral:piRNA from 1 species
UAUGAAUUGGUGCUUUCUGAAGCCAUCUUGU